rnacentral:rRNA from 1 species
GCACUUCGGUGUGAGUAGAGCGGCGGACGGGUGAGUAAUGCUUGGGAAUCUACCUAGUAGUGGGGGACAACGUGUGGAAACGCACGCUAAUACCGCAUACGUCCUACGGGAGAAAGCAGGGGACCUUCGGGCCUUGCGCUAUUAGAUGAGCCCAAGUCGGAUUAGCUAGUUGGUGGGGUAAUGGCUCACCAAGGCUACGAUCCGUAGCUGGUCUGAGAGGAUGAUCAGCCACACUGGGACUGAGACACGGCCCAGACUCCUACGGGAGGCAGCAGUGGGGAAUAUUGCACAAUGGGCGAAAGCCUGAUGCAGCCAUGCCGCGUGUGUGAAGAAGGCUCUAGGGUUGUAAAGCACUUUCAGUAGGGAGGAAAAGCAUAUAGUUAAUAACUGUAUGCCGUGACGUUACCUACAGAAGAAGCACCGGCAAACUCCGUGCCAGCAGCCGCGGUAAUACGGAGGGUGCGAGCGUUAAUCGGAAUUACUGGGCGUAAAGCGCACGUAGGUGGUUUGAUAAGCUAGCUGUGAAAGCCCCGGGCUC